ACGGGGGGUGCAAGCGUUGUUCGGAAUUAUUGGGCGUAAAGAGCGUGUAGGCGGCGGGAUAAGUCAGAUGUGAAAGCCCUGGGCUCAACUCAGGAAGUGCAUUUGAUACUGUUUCGCUUGAGUACUGGAGAGGGAAGAGGAAUUCCUGGUGUAGAGGUGAAAUUCGUAGAUAUCAGGAGGAACACCGGUGGCGAAGGCGACUUCCUGGCCAGAUACUGACGCUGAGACGCGAGAGCGUGGGGAGCAAACAG
rnacentral:rRNA from 1 species